ensembl:lncRNA
GGGGACUCCUGUAAAAUGUGAAAUAAUGGCCUUUUCUGAAGCGAUCCAGUUACAUGGAGAUAUAUGAGGUCCUGAGAGAUGGUGGUUCCCAGGAAUCUGAAUGACUCCACUGCAGCCACAGUGCUGUCUAUGAUGACUCGUCACCGUCCUGGAUGAGACCGAUGACUGUAGUGUCGUCUGCAAACGUCAGGAGCUUGACAGAGGGGUCUUUGGAGGCUGGAUUUCUCAAAGCUAAUUGUUUAACAUACUAUAUCUGAUUUCCAAAGAUUCAGCUGUUUUGACAUCCAAGCAUUUAGAUGUUUUGACUUUUUCAGGGUUAAAGGGGAACCUGCAUCAGUGCAUUUGCUUGUGAGUGAGCUCGACUGAAUAUAUGCACCCUAGACACAUUUGGCCUGGAGGGAAAGUUGGAUGUGUGUGUUUUUGUGUUUAACUCUUCCUUUAUAUUUGUGUGUUGAGCAUGAAUACGUGCAAAACCCAAGUACAGUUUGCC